UGACGUCCGUCAGUUAUUGUGUUUUGUCCUGAGGCGGAGCAGAAGGGGCGGGACCAGGAUUCGCCAGGCCCAGCGCGUCCUCGGGAUAUAAGCAGUCUGCUUCAGCGCAUGGGGGGGAGAGGACAGGAGCUGAAUCUGGCUUGGGGCUGAACCGGCUUCUCCACCCAGCUUGAUUCUACAGAGGGCUUAUCCGUGGAGCAAUGACACCGACCACACGGGGGGAGGGGCACCCGCUUGUCGAUGCUGGUCCUGUUUAUUUGCUUGGAUUGUACAAUAAAGACUGUACUCUUUUAUUGGGGGCCGUGCCUCUCUGGCUUUUUGUCGCGGCUCACGAGCCGGGUCGUAACAAAAUGGGGGCUCGUCGUUAGUUGAACCUGGUUGCGUCUGUGGCGUUUCGUUUUUUUUUUUUUUUUUUCUCUCUGUAAUCAGUGGGUGAGUGUUCAUCGUGUACACCUAUUUGCAGCUUUGGUCCCUUGAUAGGCGAUAGAGGUGUGGCUCCUUUGGGCUUCAUCUGGUCGUUGUCUUUGUAGUGUCGCUUCUAGGUGGUUAGUGUUAACUGUUUACAGUUAUCUCGGGAGCACGUCCGUGGGAUUCUAGGCAGGGAAUCUGUAUAGAUUUCCUUUCUGGCCCGCUGGUUUAAGGUGCGUAACAACCCGCCGCCGAAAAGCGUGAAGACUAGGGAUCAGCUGUUAGGUCAGUUUUUG